GGGAGGGCCAGGUUGGAUCCUCUCCAAAAAAGUGGCCACGUGCUGCCCUGUGGGAGCCCCCGAGCCAAGAGAGCACGCUAUCACCAACAGACACGCAGGGUGAGGCCGAAGGCUGCACAGAAACCCGUUCCUGUAAACACACCGCGUUCCGGGCACUGCAGAGAACAAAACUGAGGGCGCAGGGAGGCAGAGAGCCUCAGCUCUGCACCACGAGCAGCAGCUCCCCCAGCGCCAUGCCCUGCAGCCCCCGAUCACUCCCUCCUCACCAGGCUGUGUGUCCCGGCCCCCAUCACCCCCACCCCUGCUCGGUGCUGUGCUGAGGAAGAAGAGCUGAGGGAGAGCUGCCAGAGCCCCACAUGUGGAGUGUCACAGGAGGAGCCCCAUCCGACGGCCCCACUCCUCCUCCUCUCUGGACCCAGGGCUGCUGGGGCACAGCUGGGAGCAGCUUUGCGGAUGGGCCCUGAGUGCUGCUGUGCUCUGAGGGGAACGGGAGCAGCUGUGCCCUUUGGGCAAAGGCUGAGGGUGUCCGGGCUGCGCUGGGAUGGCACUGCCAGCAGUGGAACGACUGGGAUCUGCCCUCUGCUCAGCAAUGGUGCGGCUGCACAGACAGCACUGCGGGCAGCUCUGGGCCCCCCGCACAGGAGAGCCCGGGACACACUGGGGAGAGUGCAGCACAGGGCCACCGAGCUGCUGCAGCACCUGGGGCGGCUCUGCUGGAGGGACUGAGGUCACGGAACCUCCUCUUCUCUGCUCCUGGACUGGGGAAGUGUGGAUGGACGGCUGACCCAGGGCAGUGAUGUUUAUCUCCCUCUGGGUCAGUGCAAGCAAAACAGCUGCUAUGGAUCACUGUCUCACACAG
ensembl:lncRNA